UACGGGGGGGGCAAGCGUUGUUCGGAAUUACUGGGCGUAAAGGGUGCGUAGGCGGUUCGCUAAGUCGGAUGUGAAAACUCUGGGCUCAACCCAGAGCCUGCAUCCAAAACUGGCGGGCUAGAGUUCUGGAGGGGGUAGCGGAAUUCCUGGUGUAGCGGUGAAAUGCGCAGAUAUCAGGAGGAACACCGGUGGCGAAGGCGGGUCUCUGGGCCGAUACUGACGCUGAGGAGCGAAAGCGUGGGGAGCGAACAGG
rnacentral:rRNA from 1 species